AAAUGUCACUCAUGAUCCAAUUAAAUUUAUUUGAGCAGAAAUUUUAUUUGAAAUGAUGAGGCAUACUAAACGCAUCGAGAAAGCACAGUGGGUCCACGAGGCUACGACGACAUAGGACCGUCGAAAAGGUACCUUGUGUGUUUUAGGUACGAUGGUGGCCAAAUGGGGUUUGAGACAAGAGGUGAGGCUGGAUGGAGCUUUGAGGACCUCCGGUUUGGCGGCAACUUACGACUAUGAUGGGUUAAGCCAGUAUAGGACUUUCAUCAGGUUUUGUAUAAAAAGGAUACAUCUCAUAUUGUUAAAAUUGGCUUCUCUUUGGUAUUUCGCCCUUUUGUAAAUUUUCAGUGCAACUUCAAGAUAAAAUAAGCAAUCAUAGGAGCGUGCUUCCCUGAAUGUUCGUAUAUCUCAGUUUGAUUCAUCUGUUUUUUAUUUUCAGAUUUGUUCGGAGAUUUCCAUCGAGCCAGACAUCAUGUCCGUAUGGCCACAAGUGAGUUUGCAUUUUUUUUAUUGCGCAAAAUAUUUGUUUGUUAGCACUAUCCUGAUCUCCAAAAUAUUGCUACUAUUAGAAGUAACAUGUUUUCAGAUCCUUGGUUCAAGGCUAUCUAAAUUCUCUACAUGAUUGUUAGAAUUCAGAGUAUUGAUGUAUUUCUUGAUAUGUCAAUUGGUAAAAAAGGUUUUGAUAUACUAAUAUAGAAUGUUUUAUAUUUAUAUACUUUAAGUAACUUCCCGUAGAAACAGUUGUUUAAAAAAACGCAGGUUCACAUGUUGAAACAUGGAUAUGCAUUGUACAGUAGUAGAGAUCUCCCACUUGGCAUAUCCAAUCCAUGGUCUCGAACGGACGGCCACGGCGAUGAUGGUGCAGUUUCAUUGUCUGACGAUGAGCCUACUAGGUGUGGUUUUCAAAGGACGCCGAAUGCGGAACUGCGGUGGUCCUCGCACCGGUGAUAGAGCGGCAGGGGAGGGACCGGUCUUCUCAAGAGAGUGGUGGAGCUCGAUAAAGUGGGUGAUCUCGAGAGAUUGAGGAGGCAGUCAGCUUUACACCCUUUACAUUCCUUUUCCACAAAAGGUUUCCAGAAAAAAAAAUUGUUAGCCUUUUCCGCAGUACCUUGUCAGUGAAGGUCGCUUCACUGCAACAGUAGGGAAGGGGAGAAACUUGCGGCAGCGGUGGCAGGUAGUGGAGGAGCAGGUCCUCUCGAUAGCGGCGGGGAGGCAGAUAAGGGGCACCAUAGGCACCGGCGACAGGGACACAAUGGAAGGGAUGGUCGAUGCGGCUGUACGAGGGAAAGAGAAGAUAGUAGCAGAGGUUGAGAGUGUUAUGUAUCCGGUUCGUGCUGUCAUUUUCUUUUCUUUCCUUAAUCCAUAGUAGUGCAUACACCUCUUCUUUAUUUUCUUCUCUACAGUGUAGCAAUGAAUGAGCUACUUCAUCAAUUUAUACACUUCUCAGUAUUGGCACAUAAAUGUCAGAUUUUCUUUGGUCCA